rnacentral:rRNA from 1 species
CAGGGGCGUCUUGUCACUCGUGUUGUGAAAUGUUGGGUUAAGUCCCGCAACGAGCGCAACCCUUAUCCUUUGUUGCCAGCGGUUCGGCCGGGAACUCAAAGGAGACUGCCAGUGAUAAACUGGAGGAAGGUGGGGAUGACGUCAAGUCAUCAUGGCCCUUACGAGUAGGGCUACACACGUGCUACAAUGGCAUAUACAAAGAGAAGCGACCUCGCGAGAGCAAGCGGACCUCAUAAAGUAUGUCGUAGUCCGGAUUGGAGUCUGCAACUCGACUCCAUGAAGUCGGAAUCGCUAGUAAUCGUAGAUCAGAAUGCUACGGUGAAUACGUUCCCGGGCCUUGUACACACCGCCCGUCACACCAUGGGAGUGGGUUGCAAAAGAAGUAGGUAGCUUAACCUUCGGGAGGGCGCUACCACUUUCCCA